rnacentral:lncRNA from 1 species
UUUUUUUUUUUUUCCCCCUUCAAAAUCACUCGUAUUUUAAGCGUGCAAUGCACAUGAUAGGACAAGUAAUUAGCUGCGUUCUAUAUUUUUAUUUUUCUUGGCUCAAAAGAAAUAAAUAUAGACCGGGAUCCUUUUCCUUUGUCCACUUCCUAAUUAUGCUGAAAGUAGAAUUUAGUUACAAUCUUAAUUGAUCUGGAUUCUUAGAUUUAUGAUCUAUUUGAUCCAUCC